rnacentral:rRNA from 1 species
GAACUUUGGACAAUGGGGGAAACCCUGAUCCAGCCAUGCCGCGUGUGUGAAGAAGGCCUUCGGGUUGUAAAGCACUUUCGGACGGAACGAAAUCGCGUGGGUGAAUAUCCCGCGUGGAUGACGGUACCGUAAGAAGAAGCACCGGCUAACUACGUGCCAGCACCCGCGGUAAUACGUAGGGUGCGAGCGUUAAUCGGAAUUACUGGGCGUCAAGUGUGCGCAGGCGGCUUCGCAAGUCGAGUGUGAAAUCCCCGGGCUUAACUUGGGAACGGCGCUCGAAACUACGGAGCUCGAGUAUGGCAGAGGGAGGUGGAAUUCCACGUGUAGCGGUGAAAUGCGUAGAGAUGUGGAGGAACACCAAUGGCGAAGGCAGCCUCCUGGGCCAAUACUGACGCUCAUGCACGAAAGCGUGGGGAGCAAACAGG